ACGUAGGGGGCUAGCGUUAUCCGGAUUUACUGGGCGUAAAGGGUGCGUAGGUGGUCCUUCAAGUCGGUGGUUAAAGGCUACGGCUCAACCGUAGUAAGCCGCCGAAACUGGAGGACUUGAGUGCAGGAGAGGAAAGUGGAAUUCCCAGUGUAGCGGUGAAAUGCGUAGAUAUUGGGAGGAACACCAGUAGCGAAGGCGGCUUUCUGGACUGCAACUGACACUGAGGCACGAAAGCGUGGGUAGCAAACAG
rnacentral:rRNA from 1 species